AACGAACGCUGGCGGCAGGCUUAACACAUGCAAGUCGAACGCCCCGCAAGGGGAGUGGCAGACGGGUGAGUAACGCGUGGGAACAUACCCUUUUCUACGGAAUAGCUCUGGGCAACUGGAAUUAAUACCGUAUACGCCCUACGGGGGAAAGAUUUAUCGGGGAAGGAUUGGCCCGCGUUGGAUUAGCUAGUUGGUGGGGUAAAGGCCUACCAAGGCGACGAUCCAUAGCUGGUCUGAGAGGAUGAUCAGCCACAUUGGGACUGAGACACGGCCCAAACUCCUACGGGAAGCAGCAGUGGGGAAUAUUGGACAAUGGGCGCAAGCCUGAUCCAGCCAUGCCGCGUGAGUGAUGAAGGCCUUAGGGUUGUAAAGCUCUUUCACCGAUGAAGAUAAUGACGGUAGUCGGAGAAGAAGCCCCGGCUAACUUCGUG
rnacentral:rRNA from 1 species